GGGGCGGUAGCUCAGUCGGUUAGAGCAGACGACUCAUAAUCGUCCAGGCGCGGGUUCAAGUCCCGCCCGCCCCACCA
rnacentral:tRNA from 1 species